UACGUAGGGGGCGAGCGUUGUCCGGAAUCAUUGGGCGUAAAGAGCUCGUAGGCGGUCUGUCGCGUCGGCUGUGAAAACCCGGAGCUCAACUCCGGGCCUGCAGUCGAUACGGGCAGACUGGAGUUCGGCAGGGGAGACUGGAAUUCCUGGUGUAGCGGUGAAAUGCGCAGAUAUCAGGAGGAACACCAAUGGCGAAGGCAGAUCUCUGGGCCGUAACUGACGCUGAGGAGCGAAAGCAUGGGGAGCGAACAGG
rnacentral:rRNA from 1 species